GCCAGUGUGGUGUAGUGGUUUGAGAGCUGAACUAUGACUCUGGAGACCAAGGUUCAAAUCCCAGCUCAGCCA
rnacentral:tRNA from 1 species